rnacentral:rRNA from 2 species
AACCGUAAGGAGGGAGCUGCCGAAGGUGGGACCGAUAACUGGGGUGAAGUCGUAACAAGGUAGCCGUAUCGGAAGGUGCGGCUGGAUCACCUCCUUUCUAAGGAA